rnacentral:rRNA from 1 species
GACGUAGGGCGCGAGCGUUGUCCGGAUUUAUUGGGCGUAAAGAGCUCGUAGGCGGCUCGUUGCGUCGGCUGUGAAAACCCGCAGCUCAACUGUGGGCUUGCAGCCGAUACGGGCGGGCUGGGAUUCGGUAGGGGAGACUGGAAUUCCUGGUGUAGCGGUGAAAUGCGCAGAUAUCAGGAGGAACACCGGUGGCGAAAGCGGCGCGCUGGACCUCUUCUGACGCUGAGGCGCGAAAGCCAGGGGAGCAAACGGG